AGUGAACGCUGGCGGUAGGCCUAACACAUGCAAGUCGAACGGCAGCACAGGAGAGCUUGCUCUCUGGGUGGCGAGUGGCGGACGGGUGAGGAAUACAUCGGAAUCUACUCUGUCGUGCGGGAUAACGUAGGGAAACUUACGCUAAUACCGCAUACGACCUACGGGUGAAAGCAGGGGAACUUCGGGACUUGCGCGAUUGCAUGAGCCGGUGUCGGAUUAGCUAGUUGGCGGGGUAAAGGACCACCAAUGCGACGAUCCGUAGCUGGUCGGAGAGGAUGAUCAGCCACACUGGAACUGAGACACGGUCCAGACGCCUACGGGAGGCAGCAGUGGGGAAUAUUGGACAAUGGGCGCAAGCCUGAUCCAGCCAUACCGCGUGGAUGAAGAAGGCCUUCGGGUUGUAAAGCCCUUUUGUUGGGAAAGAAAUCCAGCUGGCUAACACCCGGUUGGGAUGACGGUACCCAAAGAAUAAGCACCGGCUAACUUCGUGCCAGCAGCCGCCGUAA
rnacentral:rRNA from 1 species